UCCCCUGGUAGUGGGGAGCGGGAAAUCAUUAAGAAUAAGCUCAAGGCCACCCCACGUGGCCCCAGGAACCCCACCCCACCUGCCUCCCCCUACACCUGCACGUGGCCUCGGGCCCAGUCCGUUCCCAGGGACAGACAGCUCCUAGUCACGGGCGGUCUCUGGCCUGGCCUAGAUAUGCGUCUGCCCCUCCGCCAUCCCUGUGCCUGUCCCUAGUCCGCCCUCUCCCAAGACUCCUGAGCAGGACACACGCUGAGGAAGGCAGGCCACCACAGCCCCAAGGAGGACUCCAGUCUCCUGGGAAGAGAAGCCAGGAGCAGACCAGCCACAGAAGAAAAGUGGACCUGCCAGCACCCUAGCCAGGAUCCAAGCCGCAUAUCACGGCCAAACGUCCCCUGAGUGUGUGGGGGCCCGCAGGAGGGUUCCACUCCAGCCGGCCCCCAGGCCACCUUGUUGAGCCCCCACUGGAACCCGCUGGGGGCAGGCGCUGCCAUGGAGAAGCACAAAGAACCCUACUGCCCAGGGACAAGGACUGGCUCCACCUCCCAUAGGACAAGCUCCUGAGGACAAAGAAACCGGAGCAGGACGAGAUCUGCCCCGACCCACUCUGAAGUCUGGCCUGAGUCCCAUGCAGACCCCGUGCUCUGACUUACACAUGUUCUGCUUCGCUGUUUUAUCUAAA